rnacentral:rRNA from 1 species
UACGAAGGGGGGCUAGCGUUGCUCGGAAUCACUGGGCGUAAAGCGCACGUAGGCGGACUCUUAAGUCGGUGGUGAAAUCCUGGAGCUCAACUCCAGAACUGCCUUCGAUACUGGGAGUCUCGAGUCCGAGAGAGGUGAGUGGAACUGCGAGUGUAGAGGUGAAAUUCGUAGAUAUUCGCAAGAACACCAGUGGCGAAGGCGGCUCACUGGCUCGGUACUGACGCUGAGGUGCGAAAGCGUGGGGAGCAAACAGG